rnacentral:rRNA from 1 species
AUUGAACGCUGGCGGCAGGCUUAACACAUGCAAGUCGAGCGGAGAUGAGGUGCUUGCACCUUAUCUUAGCGGCGGACGGGUGAGUAAUGCUUAGGAAUCUGCCUAUUAGUGGGGGACAACAUUCCGAAAGGAAUGCUAAUACCGCAUACGUCCUACGGGAGAAAGCAGGGGAUCUUCGGACCUUGCGCUAAUAGAUGAGCCUAAGUCGGAUUAGCUAGUUGGUGGGGUAAGGGCCUACCAAGGCGACGAUCUGUAGCGGGUCUGAGAGGAUGAUCCGCCACACUGGGACUGAGACACGGCCCAGACUCCUACGGGAGGCUGCAGUGGGGAAUAUUGGACAAUGGGGGGAACCCUGAUCCAGCCAUGCCGCGUGUGUGAAGAAGGCCUUAUGGUUGUAAAGCACUUUAAGCGAGGAGGAGGCUACUGAGACUAAUACUCUUGGAUAGUGGACGUUACUCGCAGAAUAAGCACCGGCUAACUCUGUGCCAGCAGCCGCCGUAA